GUAACAAGGUUUCCGUAGGUGAACCUGCGGAAGGAUCAUUACCGAGUGCGGGCCCUCGCGGCCCAACCUCCCACCCUUGUCUCUAUACACCUGUUGCUUUGGCGGGCCCACCGGGGCCACCUGGUCGCCGGGGGACGUCGUCCCCGGGCCCGUGCCCGCCGAAGCGCUCUGUGAACCCUGAUGAAGAUGGGCUGUCUGAGUACUAUGAAAAUUGUCAAAACUUUCAACAAUGGAUCUCUUGGUUCCGGCAUCGAUGAAGAACGCAGCGAAAUGCGAUAAGUAAUGUGAAUUGCAGAAUUCCGUGAAUCAUCGAAUCUUUGAACGCACAUUGCGCCCCCUGGCAUUCCGGGGGGCAUGCCUGUCCGAGCGUCAUUUCUGCCCUCAAGCACGGCUUGUGUGUUGGGUGCGGUCCCCCCGGGGACCUGCCCGAAAGGCAGCGGCGACGUCCGUCUGGUCCUCGAGCGUAUGGGGCUCUGUCACUCGCUCGGGAAGGACCUGCGGGGGUUGGUCACCACCAUAUUUUACCACGGUUGACCUCGGAUCAGGUAGGAGUUACCCGCUGAACUUAAGCAUAUCA
rnacentral:misc_RNA from 1 species